CCCCGCCCCGCCCAGCGCAGCCCUGCCCGGACUCAAGGGGGAAAACCACAGGCCCGGAAAGGCACGCGAUGUCAAGUUUAAAGAGACACGGACUGCCCUUUGCUCCAAAAUGUCUUUUCAAGAAGGUUUGUAUAGCAAACAGCCUUUGAAGACAGAGUGUUUCCUACCAGAACAAAGGGCAGACAUGCUUGCUGUCCAGUAUAAAAGAUCUAAGUUGCCUAAGUUCAAAGAUCUUUUUCUGAAAUGCAACCCACACAUGCGUGGCAUCCAUCUGGGUUCAUCUGCAUUGCCUCCCGGGGAUUUGAAAACAAGGAAGAACUGACCUAUGCUACCCAUGCUGCUUGCUGUGCUUAGGUUUAAAUUUUGCCCAGAAAAUAGAGUCAGAGACCACAUGUCACCACUGAUAUGCACUUUGUCUAAGCCUGUGAGUGUCUCCUUGAAGCAGCCAACCCUACUGUUGCCAUGACACCUGGCCCUGGACAUCUUCUCUGCUGAAGCUCCACGUAGGGUAAGCGGUACAGGUUGUAAGCUCCUCUCUUCCCAGAUAAGAGAGGAAGGGACCCCCUCUCUCUGUCAGAUAGCU